UCGUGUCGUGAGAUGUUGGGUUAAGUCCCGCAACGAGCGCAACCCUCACCUCUUGUUGCCACCAGGUCAUGCUGGGCACUCUAGAGGAACUGCCCCGGUCAACGGGGAGGAAGGCGGGGAUGACGUCAAGUCAUCAUGCCCCUUACGUCCUGGGCUACACACGUGCUACAAUGGCCGGUACAAAGGGAUGCCACACCGCGAGGUAGAGCUAAACCCAAAAAGCCGGUCUAAGUUCAGAUUGGAGUCUGCAACUCGACUCCAUGAAGGAGGAAUCGCUAGUAAUCGC
rnacentral:rRNA from 1 species